rnacentral:rRNA from 1 species
CAAUAGCGUAUAUUAAAGUUGUUGCAGUUAAAAAGCUCGUAGUUGGAUUUGAGGUUCGUCCCGCCGGCUGGGUCAUUGACUUUUGCUGUGCUGGUCGUCCAUCCUUGGGUGGAAUCUGUGUGGCAUUAGGUUGUCGCGCAGGGGAUGCCCAUCGUUUACUGUGAAAAAAUUAGAGUGUUCAAAGCAGGCUUAUGCCGUUGAAUAUAUUAGCAUGGAAUAAUGAUAUAGGACCUUGGUACUAUUUUGUUGGUUUGCGCACUGAGGUAAUGAUUAAUAGGGACAGUUGGGGGUAUUCGUAUUCCAUUGUAAGAGGUGAAAUUCUUGGAUUUUUGGAGGACGAACUACUGCGAAAGCAUUUACCAAGGAUGUUUUCAUUAA